rnacentral:rRNA from 1 species
UAAUUCCUACGGGACGCAGCAGGGAAUCUUCCACAAUGGGCGAAAGCCUGAUGGAGCAACGCCGCGUGGGUGAAGAAGGUCUUCGGAUCGUAAAACCCUGUUGUUAGAGAAGAAAGUGCGUGAGAGUAACUGUUCACGUUUCGACGGUAUCUAACCAGAAAGCCACGGCUAACUACGUGCCAGCAGCCGCGGUAAUACGUAGGUGGCAAGCGUUAUCCGGAUUUAUUGGGCGUAAAGGGAACGCAGGCGGUCCUUUAAGUCUGAUGUGAAAUCCUUCGGCUUAACC